AUGAAGGCAGCAAUUGUUGGAGGGUCAAUUGGAGGAGUUGUGAUGGUUGUGGUGUGGUGUAUCAUCUCAUGUUUCAAGUGGAUAGGGACAACAAGCCAUGACUUUGUUGCCCGAAGUGGCGGAGCUAGACAAUUCGAGUACCGUGUUCUAGCUUCUGCAACAGACAACUUCUCUGAGGAGAGGGUUAUUGGGAGAGGUAACUUUGGAGUAGUCUACAGGGGUAUGUUCUCCAACAAAUUAUCAUCAGGUGCACCCUCCACCGGAUCAGAUGGUCCAUCCUAUGGGGAUGAGGUGGCUGUAAAGAAGAUAUUGAAAGAGACAAGGGGGGGAAAUCUGGACUUCUUCACUGAGAUGAACACCAUUAGCGAAGCCAAGCACAAGAAUCUCGUCAAGCUGAAAGGUUGGUGUUGCAAGGAAAACAACCGGAGCCUGCUUGAUUUUAUGUGCUGGUGCUGCAGAAAGAAGAAGGAUGACGAGCUCUUCCUUGUCUAUGAAUUGGUGCCUAACGGCAAUCUACACCAUCACCUUUGCGAGAGUACGCAAGCAAUACUAUGGGCAACAAGGUACCAAAUUGUGAAAGACAUUGGCUCUGCUCUUGUUUACCUCCAUCAUGACAGUGCCCCAUACAUUUUGCACAGAGAUAUCAAACCAGGCAACAUACUCCUGGACAACAACUUUAACGCCAAGCUUGCCGAUUUCGGGCUAUCAAGGAUAGGCAACCAGGACAAUGUGACAUUGAUGACAUAUGCUCUAGGAACGGAAGCGUACAUGGCUCCAGAAUGCAAGAAAGAUGGGAAAGUCAAAUUCCACCCGAGAUCUGACGUAUACAGCUUUGGAAUCGUCCUACUAGACAUUGUAUGCACAGGGAAGUCAAGGGAGCAAGUGUGGGAGCUAUAUCAAGGAGGCAAUGUCUUGGAUGCUAUAGAUGAAAGGUUGUGUAGGGACGACUCUGACUUGACACAGAUGCAGAUGCAUCGUGUGGCUGUCUUGGGACUCUGGUGUUCUCUUCUUGAAAGUGCCAAAAGGCCUACCAUUCAGAAAGCAAUGGAGGUCCUGGCACGUGAUGAGCCAUUUCCCGACCUUAACUACUCGGUGAACACUUCGGUGCCCUCAGCGCAUCAUGGAACAGACACCAGUAGCUCUGACGAGCAGGCACUUGUACCAGAUAACAGCUAG
rnacentral:rRNA from 1 species